rnacentral:rRNA from 1 species
UACGAAGGGUGCAAGCGUUACUCGGAAUCACUGGGCGUAAAGCGUGCGUAGGCGGUUCGUUAAGUCUGCUGUGAAAGCCCUGGGCUCAACCUGGGAACUGCAGUGGAUACUGGCGGACUAGAGUGUGAUAGAGGAUGGUGGAAUUCCCGGUGUAGCGGUGAAAUGCGUAGAGAUCGGGAGGAACACCUGUGGCGAAGGCGGCCCACUGGGCAGUCACUGACGCUGAGGCGCGAAAGCUCGGGGAGCGAACGGG